UACGUAGGGUGCAAGCGUUGUCCGGAAUUAUUGGGCGUAAAGAGCUCGUAGGCGGUCUGUCGCGUCGGAUGUGAAAACCCGGGGCUCAACUCCGGGCCUGCAGCCGAUACGGGCAGACUAGAGUUCGGCAGGGGAGACGUGGAAUUCCUGGUGUAGCGGUGAAAUGCGCAGAUAUCAGGAGGAACACCGGUGGCGAAGGCGGGUCUCUGGGCAUGUCCUGACGCUGAGGAGCGAAAGUGUGGGGAGCGAACAGG
rnacentral:rRNA from 1 species